ensembl:snRNA U6 U6 spliceosomal RNA
GUGCUUGCUUCAACAACACAUAUAGUAAAAUUGGAAUGCUACAGAGAAGAUUAGCAUACUUCCUGCGCAAGGAUGACACGCAAAUUCAUGGAGCGUUCCUUAUUUUU